UUUUCCGAUUUUUCCAGCGUUCUCCCUUCUCUACACUCUCGUUCUCCCUCCUCCUCUCUACACCGAUCUGGUUUCGUUCUCCCUUGAUUUGGUUUCGGGCUCCUUUUCCCCCCUUGAUUUCUUCUUCUUUUUAUAAAUUGAUUUGGGGAUUUUCUGCUUGUUUUUGUCUGAGAUCUUGCUUGGGUUUUCUACUAGUUUGGUUGUGCUGUUUGGCUUGUCUUGGGCAGACUUUCUUCACAGACUUGCUUUAAAAAGCCAUUUCAUAUCUUUCAAGCCUUCCCUCCCAAAGCAGGCCAAGGUGAGGAUCUUUGACUGGUUGUGAGAAGUGAAAGAAAAGCUGGUAAAUGAAACUUGCAUUUGUGCCGUAGAGCCUCAUUCGGAGGCAUAGCUUUUAACACGCUCUUAUAUAGAAAAUAGUCAUAAUUGAGCAUAAUGCAAUUUCAGUUCAAUAUUUCAUUUCAUUUAUCAA